rnacentral:rRNA from 1 species
UACGGGGGGGGGCAAGCGUUUGUUCGGAAUUACUGGGCGUAAAGGGCUCGUAGGCGGCCAACUAAGUCAGACGUGAAAUCCCUCGGCUUAACCGGGGAACUGCGUCUGAUACUGGAAGGCUUGAAUCCGGGAGAGGGAUGCGGAAUUCCAGGUGUAGCGGUGAAAUGCGUAGAUAUCUGGAGGAACACCGGUGGCGAAGGCGGCAUCCUGGACCGGCAUUGACGCUGAGGCGCGAAAGCCAGGGGAGCAAACGGG